rnacentral:rRNA from 1 species
GACGGGGGAUGCAAGUGUUAUCCGGAAUCACUGGGCGUAAAGCGUCUGCAGGUGGUUUCCUAAGUCCACUGUUAAACCUUGAGGCUCAACCUCAAAUCUGCAUUGGAAACUAGGAGACUUGAGUAUAGUAGGGGUAGAGGGAAUUUCCAGUGGAGCGGUGAAAUGCGUAGAUAUUGGAGAGAACACCGAUGGCGAAGGCACUCUACUGGGCUAUUACUGACACUCAGAGACGAAAGCUAGGGGAGCAAAUGGG